rnacentral:rRNA from 1 species
UACGUAGGGGGCAAGCGUUGUCCGGAAUCAUUGGGCGUAAAGAGCGUGUAGGCGGUUCGGUAAGUCGGCUGUGAAAGUCCAGGGCUCAACCCUGGGAUGCCGGUCGAUACUGCCGGACUAGAGUUCGGAAGAGGCGAGUGGAAUUCCCGGUGUAGCGGUGAAAUGCGCAGAUAUCGGGAAGAACACCUAUGGCGAAGGCAGCUCGCUGGGACGUUACUGACGCUGAGACGCGAAAGCGUGGGGAGCAAACAGG